GUGUUGGCUGGCAGGAGUCAAAGCAUGUGGGGAGCCAUUUCAUAAAAGGAAACAAUAUAUAAUCCUUAUUUUACAAGAAAGGAGCACUGGUGACCCAACAGUUAAGCACUCAACUGCUAACCAAAAGUUUGGCAGUUUGAACCCAUGGGAGAAACACCUGGUAGUCUACUUCCAUAAAGAUUACAGCCAAGAAAACCUUAUGGUACUGUUCUACUUUGUCAAAUGGGGUAGCUAGGAGUCAGAAUUGACUCCAUGGCACCUAACAACAACACCAAACCUAGCAUUCAGUGCUGAAGAGAAAACAACCUGAUAGAGGAAAGAGCAUUGUACCAGGAAUCUGGACACCUGGGCUUUAGUCCCAGCUUUGCCAAAAACCAGCAACAUGACCCUGGGGAGUCAAUUCGUCCCUGUGGUCCUCAGCCUCCACUCAGGCCAAUAUUAGAUGUUGUAAUAUUGAAGGUACUAGGGAAACAUUUGUUGCUUAACUAAAAUCAUCUUACUAUUUUAGCACCUUAGGAAUUCAGGUCAUGGCUAGGCUCCAGGCUCCCUUCCAGCAGAGUCUCUAACAGUGAGAUUUCCUCUCUUUUCCUGUGUGUCUGUUAUUAUUCCAGGGGAGUUUGCUUUUGUCUGUGUGAUUCAGCUCUCCAGAGGGAACCCAUGACAGUCAUGUGAAAUGUGUUUAAUUUUGAACAGUUUAAUUGUAUGUUAGUAAUAGGGGUCACUAGAUGACUUUGCUUUUCCAACAUCAUCUUUUGGAAAUUUAACUAAAGGGAUACUGGAAAAGAAAUAUCAUUCGAGUUUGUUUUUUUUCCCUAGAAAAUUUAAAAGAGAGAAAUAUAAAUGGAUUUUUUCUUUGUAUCUAUGCUGUAAUAAAGAAAUAGUAGAGAGUUGUUUUUUUUUUAAUGUAUGAAUAAGUGAUUUUUUUUUUUUUUUUCAGUCUCAGGGUGAAAGUUCUGCUGCUAGACUUUUAUUCCAGUUUCCUGGUAUCCAACAGUCAGUUUGCCACUGGAAUGAACUUUUGUCAAGGCUAUCAUCUGGAACAGAGCUGGGUGUGAGGGAUGUAACCCCAAAGAUAUGUAUGGUAAACACAGAGAUGGGCAGCCCAGAGCCCUCUUCAAAGAAGGAUGCACUAUCCAGCUGUGAGGAGCAUGGUCAGCAAAGGCCUCUAGCAGUCAGCUGCUUGAAGCUGCCGUUGAGUCGUCCUGGAUUCAUGAUAACCCCAUACCCAAUGGAACGAAACGCUACCUGGUUGUCUUAGUUAACUUCUUCACCUGUCCAAUCCUGUUCAGCUCACAUCCUUUCACAGGCCUAUCUACUCCGGCUGCAAUCAAAAGGUUUUGAGUGGAGUUGAAGUGGAAGAGACUCAGGCCGUGACACCUGGGGAAAACAGAUUUUGGAGGGUGAUACUCCUGGGAAAAAGCUAUUUCACGCUUUAACUUCUAAUUAAUUUUUCAGAAAAGAAAUCACAUUACUCUGUCCAGGAAAUUUGGAAUUUCUGUCUUCCUAGAAAGAGGCAGCUAACCAAAAGCAAGUGACCAAAGGAACAUUUUUAGCAAGCAAAUUCCAUGACCACUUUGGGCAUCUCCAUUUGACCCUACCUUAAUCUAUGAUACCCAAAUUUAGGUAUUAUAAUAAUAUCUAUAGUGAUACCUUUAGUAUAGCAUAAUAACAAAAGUUGAUUAAAAAUUUAAAAAAGAUUAUCUGAAUCAUCUACAAAGAGUUUAAUUAUGCUUGCUAUGCUUGGUUUAGGGGCCCUGGUGGUGCAGUGGUUAAGAUGCUUGGCUGCUAACCAAAAGUUCGGUGGUUCAAACCCACUAGCCACUCUGUGGGAGAAAGAUGUGGCUGUCAGCUUCUGUAAAGAUUUACAGCCUUGGAAACUCUAUGGGGCAGCUCUACUCUGUCCUAUAGGGUUGCUAUGAGUCAGAAUUGACUUGAGGGCAAUGGGUUUAUGCUUGGUUUAAGAAAGCAGACGAUAUGUAGUAUAUCUCGCAAAGACAGCUCUUUCAAAAUGUAGUUUCAUCUUAUGGUCCCAACGCUUAAAGCCUCCAAUCCUCGGUUGUUCAGAAAACCCAGCCAAACUGUGUUCCUAAAAACUCUGAAGAGCUGAGAUUUUACAAUACAUUUGUCCAUAUUCUCUUGGAGUCUGUGAAGCCCUGUGAUGACCCAGAAGAAGGUUCCAAAAAAGACAAUGAGCCUUGUGUAAAGAAAGGGGAGCCAGUGUGGCUGCUAAAGUGAAAGGAGGGGCUAGGAGAAAUCCAAAGGAAAGGAAUUUGAGGGAGAAUCUUUGGCUUAAAAUUUAAAUUUUAAAUGGCUUCUAUUUUUAAUCUAAGGAGUCUGGAUGGCACAAAGAGUUAAAGGCUUGUUGACCAACUGAAAGCUUGGUGGUUCAAACCCACCCAGAGGUUCCUUGGAAGAAACACUUGGUGAUCGACUUGCAAAAGUUCAAAGACUUGAAAACCCUAUGGGUCACCAUGAGUCUGAAUCAACUCCACAGCAGUUGGCUCUGGUAUUUUUAUCUGGUGGCCAAAUACGUGUGUUUCUAAGUUUUCUUAUCUUCCAAUGAAAUCCAUCACUGUGGUUAUAUGCUACACGUGUUUCUGUCUUUGUUAAUUUGGAAGCAGGCAUGCACAUAUUGCAUUUCUAAGUGUAAAGUACCAUGUGCGAUAUCUGGGAGACGUAGAGAUGAAUAAGACAUGAUCUCUGCCUUAGGAAGUUUACAAUCAAAUGCUCGAAGCAGACAUUCCAACGUGUGUCCAUAAUACUUUAAACAGUAAUGCAGAGGGCCAAAGGAAGGACCUCAAUCCUGGAGAGAAGUUGAACUGGUUAAACGCACACAUAACAAAUAGGAUCCACUAUUCACUAAGUCCCCAAGGUGUCAGAAUAUCACCCAGGUCAACAGGAUGCCUGGAAAUCUGACCAGGGCCAGUCUGCACAGAAAAGAACACUGGAAUCUUAUAAAUGGUUGUCGAGAUUAUGGAAUGGAUUGUCAUGUAUUUGGUAUGAGUCCCAUCUUUCAGGACAACAGGAUUCCUUGGACACACACACUGCCCAAACUUCUACCUGUGAAAGGUGGGAUAGAGUUAGAUGAGGAGCAAAAAGUCUUGAUUUUAAAAAGACAGUAAUGUAACAUGAUAGGUGACCCUUCUUGCAUCUGAAAGUAUGAGCGUUCUGAUGGAACAAUUUGUAACAUGAAAUUACUCCUCCCCUUUUAUCAGGUGCUGCUAUUCUCAUGCAAUGCUGGUUCGAUGGGGAAGUCCUGUGCAGAAGUGGGUGCAUAUGUAUGUGGACAUUUGGUGAGUCUCUUUAAUAAAAUGGUUGUUAUUUAAAAAAAGAAUAUUUGGAAAAGUUAGGGCUCUUUCUGCACAUGACAGAAAACCCAACCUAAGUUAAGCCAAGAAGAAAGCCUUUAGGUUGAAGGAACUGAAAAGUCCAAGGCUUCAGGCACUCCAAUAAUGUCAUUGGGAUCUCUCUUCUAUGUCUCCAUCUCUUCGCUCUGCUGCUUCUGUGUUGGCUCCUUUUGAGGCAGUGUCUCCCCUGUGGUGAUAAAUUUGUUGCAGCACUUCCAGCUUUACGUCCUUCCAGGUUCAGGUAGAAGGGCAGACUCUUCCUGAGAGAGCAGAAGACCUGGGAUUCACUCCGAUUGGGUCCAUCAUUGGUCCUGAGUGUCGAGGACAGUUCUGGAGUCUGGGUCAGAGCCCCACUCAAAGCACUUGGACAGAGGGUGGGAGAGGGGCAGCUCCUCUAAAGAAAGUCAGAGGACUGUUACAAAUGGAAGGGGGCUUGAAAACUAGUGUUUGGAGCCCAUACACUGUGUUUUUUUGAAAGGCAUUCUACUUUUUAACACCUUUUAUCCCUCAAAGGAUGGAUGGUGGAUUUACUUCAAUUCGGAUCCAUCAAAUAGGUAAAAAAAAAAAAAAAAACUUCCCACUAAAUAAUAAGUAGUAGUAGUAACGACUGCUCACACUUAUUUCUCUCUUGGAAUUGAAGGAUCUGGAGCAAGGUGCGAGACAAGGAAGCAGACAGUGAGUGUGAUGGCAAUAGUCACCUGCCUUGACAAAUUUUCGGAUGUAGUUCACACUGAUAAGUAUCUAAAGAGGUUCUAACUUAUGGCUUUAUAAAUCUCCAGAAUAAAAUGAGCUCUAUGUAAUAGUUACCAGCUAAUUUAAGUUACUUGUAUUCAUUCGUUCAUUCAACAGAUAUUUACUGAGUGCCUCUUAUGUUCCAAGCACUGAGCUACUGAGCCAAAAAGGCAUGGAAUAACACUAUAAAUAAUAUAUAAUGUUAUUCUUGUAUAAACCCAUCCUCCCUCCAUAGCGAAUUGGUAAAAACUCUUAGAUGUUCUCAUCCAGAAGUCUAGCUGUUAUGGUCUAGUUCAGAUCCUUUCCUUCUGUUGUCCAGGAAGCUUUUUCUGCCACACUCUACUCAAGACCAUCCUGUUUGCGGUUUUUAAUCCCAACUUCAGAAAGUUUCCCAUCUCUCCAUCUGUAGAUACACAAAGUUCAUUCUCUAACUUUAUUCACCUCUUUGCCAAAAAUAUUCAUGAAUGUUAGCCAUGGCAGGAAUCCACAUAAGCUGGAAUUGAAGAAAUCUCUUCUUCAAUAUAUAUUUUUCACAAUUCAGCCUGAAGCCACUUGUCCAGUCACCCCGUUUGCCUGGAAAUGCAAAUGUCCAUCUGAACAGCAGUACAGUAUUGAGAAGGGUUUCACAAUCACUCUUGGAGGGAAGUGAACAGCUUCAAGUUGACAACAAGUUCUAAGUACUUUAAUUACCUGGAAGAGUUUCCUCCAUUGCUCAGAAGUUCCUGAACUCCAUGAUACUUCCUGUUUCACAUCAGUAGAUUCUUCUUCUGACCAGAGCUGUGGGUCUCAUCAUUGCUUCACAACGUAACUGAGGUCUUCUCAGUGCAUAUACCCACCUCUAAACCAAGAUGGGUGUAUGCCGUACAAGCAGUCCCCGGGUUACAAACGAGAUCAGUUCCUAAGCGCGUCUUUAAGAAUUUGGAGCUGCCCUCAAGUUAAUACCCGACUUGUGAUGACCCCAUGCACAACGGAACAAGAUGCUGCCUGGUCCUGCACCAUCCUCAUGAUUGACUGCAGGUUGAACUGUGACUUAUAUGUUGUUGUGUGCCAUCGAGUCAAUUCCUACUCAUGUGACCCUAUAUGAAAGAGUAGAACUGCCCCAUAGGGUUUCCUAGGCUGUAAUCUUUACGGGGGCAAAUCGCCAGGACUUUUCUCCUGUUGAGCUGCUGGUGGGUUUGAACCACCAGCCUUUUGGUUAGCAGACAAGUACUUACCCAUUGUGCCACCGGGGAUCCUUUUUGUGAUUCGUAUAGGAAAGCAUUAAGCAUGACAGUGUCUGCAGAAUGCCUGAUAUUCUCUCUUUUUCCCUAUUUUCCUUUGCCUUCUAUACGAGGUAUCAGAACCAAGCAUUUGUUACCAAAUGCCUUUAACUCUUUUACCACGAGCAAGUGGGCAUGGGGGUGGAGAAGGGGUAAAAGAGUCCUUGGCUUCCUUUCACUCCUCCUCAACUUAAUCUCAGGAAUGCAAGUUCACUCACUUUUCCCCCAAUGUGCUGGUAUUAUUUCUGACCCAUGGUCUCCAGCCAAACUGGAAUGUGGUGGUUAAUGUGGGCCCUAGUAGGCUGGAUGAACCUCCAAAACUAUUGCCCUGAGAUAAUCUUUAAACCUGAAACCUAAACUGAAAAUAUCCCCUAAAGCCUUCUUUAAACCAAACAACAAUCUAGCUUAACUAGUGAAAAAGUAUCUGCUAUGAGCAUUGUGCUCUCCUAAAGAACCAUCUAUAUGGGAUCAAAUUGAAAACAGCAAUUUGAAAGCCUAGAUAGGAAGAAUGGGGAAAGUGAGUUUAUCUCAAUAGUGGAGAAACAGAUAGGAAAAGGAGGCUGCAUGUAAUCAAUGUCCCUAUAUUGUACAUGUAUAUUUUUUGCUGCAUAUAUUUUCAAUGACAGCAACAAAAAAGAGUGUGGGCCCUAGAGCCAGACCUGGAUUCAACUGACCAGUAGGGCGACCUCAGUAGAAUUACCAUAUUUUCGCAAAAACAAACACUAACAGGAUGCCCAGUUAAAUUUGAAUUUCAUGUGCCAAAUCGAUCUCAUUGCUGUUGAAUCGAUUCUGACUCAUCAAGGCCCUAUAGGACAGAGUAGAACUCCCUCAUGGGUUUCCAAGGAGUGACUGGUGAAUUAGAAUUGCUGACCUCUUGGUUAGCAGCCGAGCUUUUAACCACUGCGCCACCAGAGCUCCUUGAAUUUCACAUAAACAAUGAAUAAUUUUUAGUGUAACCAUGUCCUGUGCAAUAUUUGUACUAAUAAAUUGUUUUUUAUUUAUCAAAUUUGACUGAGUGUCCUGUAUUUUAUCUGGCAAUCCUAGACCUUGGGCAAGUUAUUGAACCUCUCUAUGCCCAAAUUUCUUUAUGCAGAACUUAAGAAUAAUGGUACUGCCUGUCUGAAAGGGUUGUCUUCAGGAUUAAAUAAGAUAAUACAUGUAAAAUGUUAAGAGCCUGGUUCCUGGCACACAGUAAGCACUUAAUAAACGUUAAGUGAAUAUUCAAUAUAUCAUGGUGGAGUGCAUAGACUUGGGAGCAUUACAAAAUUGGUUCAAAUCCUUCCUUUGUCUCUUACCUGCAUUGUGACCUUGGACAAGUUAUUUCUGUCAUAAGACACUUAAUAAUAAAAUUAAUCUGUUGGAUGAGGUUUA